UUGAACGCUGGCGGCAGGCCUAACACAUGCAAGUCGCGCGGAUGAAGGGAGCUUGCUCCUGGAUUCAGCGGCGGACGGGUGAGUAAUGCCUAGGAAUCUGCCUGGUAGUGGGGGAUAACGUCCGGAAACGGGCGCUAAUACCGCAUACGUCCUGAGGGAGAAAGUGGGGGAUCUUCGGACCUCACGCCAUCAGAUGAGCCUAGGUCGGAUUAGCUAGUUGGUGGGGUAAAGGCCUACCAAGGCGACGAUCCGUAACUGGUCUGAGAGGAUGAUCAGUCACACUGGAACUGAGACACGGUCCAGACUCCUACGGGAGGCAGCAGUGGGGAAUAUUGGACAAUGGGCGAAAGCCUGAUCCAGCCAUGCCGCGUGUGUGAAGAAGGUCUUCGGAUUGUAAAGCACUUUAAGUUGGGAGGAAGGGCAGUAAGUUAAUACCUUGCUGUUUUGACGUUACCAACAGAAUAAGCACCGGCUAACUUCGUG
rnacentral:rRNA from 1 species